rnacentral:rRNA from 1 species
GAUGAACGCUGGCGGCGUGCCUAAUACAUGCAAGUCGAGCGAACGGACGAGAAGCUUGCUUCUCUGAUGUUAGCGGCGGACGGGUGAGUAACACGUGGAUAACCUACCUAUAAGACUGGGAUAACUUCGGGAAACCGGAGCUAAUACCGGAUAAUAUUUUGAACCGCAUGGUUCAAAAGUGAAAGACGGUCUUGCUGUCACUUAUAGAUGGAUCCGCGCUGCAUUAGCUAGUUGGUAAGGUAACGGCUUACCAAGGCAACGAUGCAUAGCCGACCUGAGAGGGGGCUCGGCCACACGGGAACUGAGACAGGGUCCAACCCCCUAGGGGAGGCAGCAGGGGGAAAUCUCCCGCAAGGGGCGAAGCCCGGACGGAGCCACGCGGCGUGAGUAAUGAGGGCUUUGGGAUCGUAAACCCUUUUUAUUAGGAAAAAAAAGAUGUGAAAUAACCGGUCCCAUUUUUGAGGUUCCCUAAACAAAAAGCCACGCCUACCUACGG